CUACGGGCCGCUCCAGUAGGGAAUCUUAGACAAUGGGGGAAACCCUGAUCUAGCCAUGCCGCGUGAGUGAUGAAGGCCUUAGGGUUGUAAAGCUCUUUCGCUGGGGAAGAUAAUGACGGUACCCAGUAAAGAAACCCCGGCUAACUCCGUGCCAGCAGCCGCGGUAAUACGGAGGGGGUUAGCGUUGUUCGGAAUUACUGGGCGUAAAGCGCGCGUAGGCGGGCUAUUAAGUCAGGGGUGAAAUCCCGGGGCUCAACCCCGGAACUGCCUUUGAUACUGGUAGUCUUGAGUUCGAGAGAGGUGAGUGGAAUUCCGAGUGUAGAGGUGAUAUUCGUAGAUAUUCGGAGGAACAUCAGUGGCGAAGGCGACUCACUGGCUCGAUACUGACGCUGAGGUGCGAAAGUGUGGGGAGCAAACAGGAUUAGAUACCCGAGUAGUC
rnacentral:rRNA from 1 species